rnacentral:misc_RNA from 1 species
UUUGCUAGUUAGGAUAAGUCAGCUGGUAGUAGUCCCCACCCGUAGCGUCCUCAGCGAUUUGCAUUUGCUUCACUCGCUUUAUAAGCUCGCUAGAACACAAAACACUCCCACUGAAUGAUCCGCUCACUCGUAACACCAUCCAGAGCUUAUUUUUCUAAAUUAUAACAUAUGCCAAGUAGAAGUAGAAGUAUAAUUAGGAGUAGAGCAGAUUUUCAAAAGUAUAUCUAUAAAAACAUGGAUAAGGUGUGUAGCUAGUACCUAUUGUCGGUAAUUGAUGUCAUGUGUUAAAUACCUAAAGUAUGCUAGAUUUCAGGAUCAAUCGAGUCUCCUUAGUUUUUAACCUGUGCGCCGUCGUCGUCGGCAGGAAGCAACGCGAUACCCUGCAAAGACCCCAUAGGGGAAGCGCAGUAAAAAUUUUGGGGAUCCGGAAUCAAGGGCCGACGAGGGGUGCGGAGAGGAGCCAUAAACCCAGGAGGGCGAGCAGCUGCACGAAUCGCGAUUCUAUUCGCAUUGCAAAGAAGCUCUUGCAUUGGGGGUGAAAAAAGAACAAAAAUAUGAUUUUUUGGUAUACGUACUUAGUUAGAAAAAAAAAUUUUUUUUCAUUUGAUUUUUCGUGAGAAUUGUGAAUUUGCUGUAUUGUAAUUUUACAUGUCCUUUUCCGGGUGCAUCGUGAAAUAAUGAGUCACUAUACACACGGUGGUACGAGUGUUUGGCUAUUUACUUUGUCAGUUACUUCGCGCAAGGCUAGCUGGAGGCUCGGAAUUUUCGCAGUAUAAUUCAGUUGUUGCUGAAACGGUUUCUGUAGAUGCUAAUCUAUUCGGUAUCCCGGAGUGGACCAGAUGCUAAACGAAGUCGAAACAAUCAAAUGCAGACCCCGAUUUUUAUCCACGCGACCAAAAAUUAAGCGAGUCAAAACUGAUUUCACGGUAUAUUGUACUAGUUGAGGAUAUACUCGAAAGGUUUAGGUUUAUCUAGGUUUUAGCGACAAAAAUAGUUGGUCGAUUUAUCGAGCGACAAAAGUAGCGGCCACUUCCCACGCGAGACGUACCACAAAAUAUUUAUACAUUCAAGGCUUUCAUGUUCCACUUUGCAGGUAUUUUACUGUAUUUGAUACUAAAUCGGAUCAGAAUGAAAAUAUGAUCGGUUCUACUACGUCUCUAAAAAUAAAUAGAGCUAAUUAAUUAGGGUUUAAGAAAGUAGAGCUGAUAGCGUAGCCACCGCCACCUGUUUUACCGAGCAAUUAAUGAUGAAAAAGCAGGUAAUUAACGGGAGAAGCAUUUUUUACGCUCAACGAAAUUACAUUUCGCUAUCGCGUGUUAGUUUCUUGAACACGUCGAAUAUCAGCAUGAGUCAAAUGUAGACACGUUUAUCUUCAAUUUGUGACAAUCCCUCGGUACCCACUUCUGCCGCUGCCGUCGAUAUCGACGGGAUACACAAAUUG